UACAGAGACUGCGAGCGUUAUUCGGAUUCACUGGGCGUAAAGGGCGCGUAGGUGGCGCGGGAAGUCAACGGUGAAAGUUCGGGGCUCAACCCUGAAUCGGCCGUCGAUACUCCCGGGCUCGAGCACUGUAGAGGCAGAUGGAAUUCCGGGUGUAGCGGUGGAAUGCGUAGAGAUCCGGAAGAACACCGGUGGCGAAGGCGGUCUGCUGGGCAGUUGCUGACACUGAUGCGCGACAGCGUGGGGAGCAAACAGG
rnacentral:rRNA from 1 species